UGGGGAAUAUUGCGCAAUGGGCGAAAGCCUGACGCAGCAACGCCGUGUGAGGGAUGAAGGCUUUCGGGUCGUAAACCUCUGUCGGAAGGGAAGAACGGGCAUUGGUCUAAUAGGCCUUUGUUUUGACGGUACCUUUAGAGGAAGCACCGGCUAACUCCGUGCCAGCAGCCGCGGUAAUACGGAGGGUGCAAGCGUUAUUCGGAAUUACUGGGCGUAAAGCGCACGUAGGCGGCUUCGUAAGUCAGGGGUGAAAUCCCACGGCUCAACCGUGGAACUGCCUUUGAAACUGCAAAGCUUGAAUCCUGGAGAGGGUGGCGGAAUUCCUGGUGUAGGAGUGAAAUCCGUAGAUAUCAGGAGGAACACCGGUGGCGAAGGCGGCCACCUGGACAGGUAUUGACGCUGAGGUGCGAUAGUGUGGGGAGCAAACA
rnacentral:rRNA from 1 species